AGAGUUUGAUCAUGGCUCAGAUUGAACGCUGGCGGCAGGCUUAACACAUGCAAGUCGCGCGGAGUGAUGGUGCUUGCACCAUCACUUAGCGGCGAACGGGUGAGUAAUGCCUAGGAAUCUGCCCAUUAGCGGGGGACAACGUGUGGAAACGCACGCUAAUACCGCAUACGCCCUACGGGGGAAAGCAGGGGACUCUUUUAGAGCCUUGCACUAAUGGAUGAGCCUAGGUCGGAUUAGCUAGUUGGUGGGGUAAAGGCCUACCAAGGCGACGAUCUGUAGCGGGUCUGAGAGGAUGAUCCGCCACACUGGAACUGAGACACGGUCCAGACUCCUACGGGAGGCAGCAGUGGGGAAUAUUGGACAAUGGGCGCAAGCCUGAUCCAGCCAUGCCGCGUGUGUGAAGAAGGCCUUUUGGUUGUAAAGCACUUUAAGCGAGGAGGAGGCUACCUGUAUUAAUACUAUAGGAUAGUGGACGUUACUCGCAGAAUAAGCACCGGCUAACUCUGUGCCAGCAGCCGCGGUAAUACAGAGGGUGCGAGCGUUAAUCGGAAUUACUGGGCGUAAAGCGCGCGUAGGCGGUUUGUUAAGUCGGAUGUGAAAUCCCCGGGCUCAACCUGGGAAUUGCAUUCGAUACUGGCAAGCUAGAGUAUGGGAGAGGAAGGUAGAAUUCCAGGUGUAGCGGUGAAAUGCGUAGAGAUCUGGAGGAAUACCGAUGGCGAAGGCAGCCUUCUGGCCUAAUACUGACGCUGAGGUGCGAAAGCAUGGGGAGCAAACAGGAUUAGAUACCCUGGUAGUCC
rnacentral:rRNA from 1 species